rnacentral:rRNA from 1 species
CCCUUAGAUGUCCUGGGCCGCACGCGCGUUACACUGAUGCAUUCAACGAGCCUAUCCUUGACCGACAGGUCCGGGUAAUCUUUGAAUCUGCAUCGUGACGGGGAUAGAUUAUUGCAAUUAUUAAUCUUCAACGAGGAAUGCCUAGUAGGCGCAAGUCAUCAGCUUGCGUCGAUUACGUCCCUGCCCUUUGUACACACCGCCCGUCGCUACUGCCAACUGAGAUGGGUCCUGAAUUGUUAGGAACGCCCGUCAAGGGGCCUACCCGGUCCCUAGUGCGGUGACGAGAAUAACUGUAAAUGGCAUAUCUUGUAGGGAGUAAAAGUCGUAACA